UUUUUGAAGAUAAUUUAAAGUCUAAUCUGCCCACUGAUAAAAUUAUUAAAGGGCUGCAGUAUUUUGACUGUACAAAGGUAGCAUAAUCAAUAGUCUCUUAAUUGGUGACUUGUAUGAAAGAUUGGAUGAAAUAUAUACUGUCUCUAAUUAAUUUAUAGAAAUUAAUUUUUUAGUAAAAAAGCUAAAAUAAUUUUAAAAGACGAGAAGACCCUAUAGAGUUUAAUAAUUUAUUUAAUUAUAUUUAUUAUAUAAUUUUUAAAAUUAAAAUUAAAUGAAUUAUUUUGUUGGGGUGAUAGAAAAAUUAAAUUAACUUUUUUUAAUUGUUAACAUUAAUUUAUGAUUAAAUGAUCCGUUAAUAAUGAUUAAAAGAAAAAAUUACCUUAGGGAUAACAGCGUAAUUUUUUUUUUUAGUUCAAAUAGGAAAAAAAGUUUGCGACCUCGAUGUUGGAUUAAGAUAAAAUUUAAAUGCAAAAGUUUAAAAUUUUGAUCUGUUCGAUCAUUAAAAUCUUACAUG
rnacentral:rRNA from 1 species